CCUGCUGAGCACACCUUUUGCCCAUACAACUGUAUACAAUACAACUGUAUUGAGAUCCCUGACUCUUGGUGGCGCUGUCACUUGGUGUUCGCUCGCUUUGUGUGGAUCAGCUGUUGCUGGCCAGAGCUGAAGGUGACUUGCUGGCUGGGCCAACGGCUGCAACACAGGACAUGGGUCCUGCCUCUCCUCCCCGCUCGUGUCUUGUGUUGCAGCCAGUGGAGCUGCCUGUCUGCCCGCUGAUGACGGCGUGAGCUCCAGGAGUGGACGGAUCCUAUCAACCGUGGACCUGCCGACACAGCUCCCCAUCUUACAGCUAGCUUGAGCCUAAUCACUGUCAUUCUGUGUCGUUAUCCCAUAUCUAAAUAUGUCCUCUCCCACAGUUUAAAGCAAAUAAACUACUUCAGCAAAAACGUUCCUCGUUGUGUUUGUAAUGAUAACAGUGGAGUGUUU
ensembl:lncRNA